rnacentral:lncRNA from 1 species
UGACAGAGUAGCUAAGCUAGAAAAUGGAGAAGCCAGAGUCAAUCACAUCCAAGCUUUCUGACUCCCACGUUCUGGACUGUUUCCACCAGGUGACACUGACUGUCAGCAUUAGCAGCAUUUCUGCCUUGGUUCUAUCCUGCAAAACUAUCAGUUGUGAAUCUGUGUGUGGAAAAUUAAGGAAGUACGACUCUAAGAACAAGUGGAUGACACAAGAUUACUGACACUGUGAAAUGGGAAGAAAGGGGCUAAAGGUGUAGGGAAGGUGUUCACACUGCAGUUUCUACCUUCGGUGACGGCCACCCAGGAACUGAAUGAGUCGGAGGGACGAGAACUGCCUUCUCUUUUAUUUGAGACUGAUGCCCAUUUCUGAUACAGGCAACUUCGGGCUCUGCCCUGAACUUUACAGUAGGUAAGCAGAGAAUGUGAC